ACGCAAGUGCGAUAAGGGGACCCCAAGUGCGAGGGCAUAUAGUCCUCGCUUUUCCUCGACUGUAAGGCGGUCGAGGAAUAAGAGCUGGGCAAGACCGGUGCCAGCCGCCGCGGUAAUACCGGCAGCUCAAGUGAUGACCGAUAUUAUUGGGCCUAAAGCGUCCGUAGCCGGCCACGAAGGUUCAUCGGGAAAUCCGCCAGCUCAACUGGCGGGCGUCCGGUGAAAACCACGUGGCUUGGGACCGGAAGGCUCGAGGGGUACGUCCGGGGUAGGAGUGAAAUCCCGUAAUCCUGGACGGACCACCGAUGGCGAAAGCACCUCGAGAAGACGGAUCCGACGGUGAGGGACGAAAGCUAGGGUCUCGAACCGGAUUAGAUACCCGGGUAGUCCUAGCUGUAAACGAUGCUCGCCUAGGUGUGGCACAGGCUACGAGCCUGUGCUGUGCCGUAGGGAAGCCGUGAAGCGAGCCGCCUGGGAA
rnacentral:rRNA from 1 species